rnacentral:rRNA from 1 species
GACGAACGCUGGCGGCGUGCCUAAUACAUGCAAGUCGAACGCAGUGGGGACGGGUGAGUAACACGUGGGUAACCUCCCAUCAGAGGGGAUAACACUUGGAAACAGGUGCUAAACCGAUACUGAUGGAUGAACACGCGGUGCAUUAGCUAGUGGGUAAGGAAACGGCUAACCAAGGCCACGAUGCAUAGCCUACCUGAUAGGUGGUUCGGCCACACUGGGACUGCGAAACGGCCCAGACUCCUACGGGAGGCAGCAGGAGGGAAGCUUCGGCAAUGGACGAAAGUCUGACCGAGCAAAGCCGCGUGAGUAAAGAAGGUUUUCGGAUCGUAAAACUCUGUUGUUAGAGAAGCGGUAUCUAACCAGAAAGCCACGGCUAACUACGUGCCAGCAGCCGCGGUAAUUC